rnacentral:rRNA from 1 species
UGGGGAAUCUUGCGCAAUGGGCGGAAGCCUGACGCAGCAACGCCGCGUGUGGGAAGACGGCUUUCGGGUUGUAAACCACUUUCAGGGGGGACGAAGCUUCCGAGGUUAAUAGCCUACGGGGUGACGGUACCCCCAGAAGAAGCCCCGGCUAACUACGUGCCAGCAGCCGCGGUAAUACGUAGGGGGCGAGCGUUGUCCGGACUCAUUGGGCGUAAAGCGCGUGUAGGCGGCUUGGUAAGUCUGGGGUGAAAUCCUGGGGCGUAACCCCAGACCUGCACUGGAUACUGCCAAGCUUGAGUCCGGGAGGGGAGAGCGGAAUUCCUAGUGUAGCGGUGAAAUGCGCAGAUAUUAGGAAGAACACCGGUGGCGAAGGCGGCUCUCUGGAACGGUACUGACGCUGAGACGCGAAAGCGUGGGGAGCGAACA